GUACACGCUGUGACUAGCAUAUCAAUAAGCGGAGGAAAAGAAACUAACAAGGAUUCCCUCAGUAACGGCGAGUGAAGCGGGAAGAGCUCAAAUUUGAAAUCUUGAAAGGUCACCUUUCACGAAUUGUAGUUUAAAGAAGUGUUUUCUGUUACGAUCGUAAUAUAAGUUCUUUGGAAUAGGACAUCACAGAGGGUGAGAAUCCCGUCUAUGAUUGCGAUUUGUAGCUUUGUGAUACACUUUCAAAGAGUCGGGUUGUUUGGGAAUGCAGCCCAAAACGGGAGGUAAAUUUCUUCUAAGGCUAAAUAUUGGCGAGAGACCGAUAGCGAACAAGUACCGUGAGGGAAAGAUGAAAAGAACUUUGAAAAGAGAGUUAAAUAGUGCGUGAAAUUGUCAAAAGGGAAGCGUUUAACACCAGUGUUGUUUUCUGAAAAUCAACCUCUGUUAGCUUUAUGCAUGUUUGUUUAGACCUAAUCAGCUAUCUUUCAUGUUCUAUUGUUUGCAGUGGUGCACUUUUCAGUUUACAGGUCAACAUCAGUUUUUUUUACCGUAAAAAAGUUAAAGAAAGGUAGCUCAUGGCUCCGGUCGUGAGUGUUAUAGUCUUUUUCCUAUGCGGUAGGAGAGACUGAGGUCUGCAGUGUAGGCUAUUUGGCUAGAUACUCAGGUGCUAUGUGAUACCAUUUCAUUAACAACUUGUUGAUUAUGUUUUGUCUAUUGCAUACUCGCUUGUACUAUCAUACCUACGCUUAGGAUGUUGAGUAGCGACAUACGCAC
rnacentral:rRNA from 1 species